rnacentral:rRNA from 1 species
CGUGUAGGCGGUUUAAUAAGUCAGAUGUAAAAGCCCCCGGCUCAACCGGGGAUGGUCAUUUGAAACUGUUAGGCUUGAGUGCGAGAGAGGGUAGUGGAAUUCCCAGUGUAGCGGUGAAGUGCGUAGAUAUUGGGAAGAACACCAGUAGCGAAGGCGGCUACCUGGCUCGCAACUGACGCUAAGGCGCGAAAGCGUGGGGAGCAAACA